rnacentral:snoRNA from 1 species
UCUGAUGCAUAGUUAGCACCUAAUAAAUAAUAUUCUUGCACUAGGAUGGGAAAGGAAAAAAUAUCUCUGGGCUUUCUGCCUGUGGGGUGGCCCAGACUAAAUUUGGGAAAGUAUCU